AUUGAACGCUGGCGGCAGGCCUAACACAUGCAAGUCGAGCGGAUGAAGGGAGCUUGCUCCUGGAUUCAGCGGCGGACGGGUGAGUAAUGCCUAGGAAUCUGCCUGGUAGUGGGGGAUAACGUCCGGAAACGGGCGCUAAUACCGCAUACGUCCUGAGGGAGAAAGUGGGGGAUCUUCGGACCUCACGCUAUCAGAUGAGCCUAGGUCGGAUUAGCUAGUUGGUGGGGUAAAGGCCUACCAAGGCGACGAUCCGUAACUGGUCUGAGAGGAUGAUCAGUCAUACUGAGAAUGGCUAACGGGCCGGACUCGUAGGGGGGGACGGAGUGGGGAAUAGGGGCAAAGGGGCGAAAGCAUGAUCCAGCGAGGCGGCUGGUGUAAAUAAGGUCUUAGAGUUGUAAAGCAUUUUAAGGGGGGAGGACGGGCAGUAAGUUAACCAUUUGCUGUUCUGACGUUACCAAGAGAACAAGCACCGGUUAACUGCGCGCCAGCGGACGCGGUAAUAAUA
rnacentral:rRNA from 1 species